AUUCGUGAUUAGUUUUUCUUAUGAUGCUUAAAUAUACGUUAUUAUCCAAUUUCCAGUAUAUGUGUUUCACAUGGAAAUUUUGCUGUGUCACACUGUCCUAGCUUUCUUGCUAAACAACUGAAACACCUCAACAUCGAAAUUCUUUUCAUGCGAAGUGGCUAGUUGCGUAGAUUAAAUGCCAUCUGGAGAAGGUACUGGCUACAAGAUUAAACGAGCAACCUGAACUCUAGACAGACAAGAUUAUGGUUUGAUGUCAUGGUCAAGCAAGUAUUAUGUAAACAAAACAAAGUGGAGACUUUCUAAAUUCUGACUUGCCAUAAAAUAUUGUUUUUCUGCUAGAGGAUAAGGCAAUCCAUAUUUAUUGACCUAACUAAUCUUUUUAGUUUGGCCAAUUGGAAUAUUUUAUGAAUCGAGAAAACGGUAUCCAGAUUACUGGCAUAAACCAUCGUCUAAUACAUAGGUAGAUAGAUUGGGAGUUCUGCACGAACAAG